AAGAAGAAGCGGAAAAACAGUAGGUGGCGUAACAUUUUAACGUUGUGUGCGCCGACCUCGAACGAAAACGAGGAAGAAGAAGAAAGAGAAGAAGAAGCGGGAACGUUUUUGGAAACGACAACCGCAACGCUUGUGACAGAAGACUUGGAGAGGAUGGACAAAAAGAAAAUGACAACAUAAGAGGUUAAGAGUUCCCACAAAGAAAAUGAAGGACCUGCAUAAUUCUCCUCCCCCAAAUGAGUAAUCUGGGUGUUUGGCCUUCGUCAGAUGGGAGGACGGUUAUACCGGCAAAAUCUUUACUGGAGCAGACAUUUUGUCAAGAGAUGAAGCUCCUGUGCAGAUCUUAGAUCUUAGAACAGGAGAUUCUGUUUUAGCAAAGUGGUCAGAUGGUA